UACGUAGGGGGCAAGCGUUGUCCGGAAUCAUUGGGCGUAAAGCGCGUGUAGGCGGUCCGGUAAGUCCGCUGUGAAAGUCGGGGGCUUAACCCUCGGAUGCCGGUGGAUACUGUCGGGCUUGAGUACGGAAGAGGCGAGCGGAAUUCCUGGUGUAGCGGUGAAAUGCGCAGAUAUCAGGAGGAACACCGGUGGCGAAGGCGGGUCUCUGGGCCGAUACUGACGCUGAGGAGCGAAAGCGUGGGGAGCGAACAGG
rnacentral:rRNA from 1 species